UACGUAGGGGGGCAAGCGUUGUCCGGAAUCAUUGGGCGUAAAGCGCGUGUAGGCGGCUCGAUAAGUCUGCUGUGAAAGUUCAGGGCUCAACCCUGAAAUGCCGGUGGAAACUGUCGAGCUAGAGUCCGGAAGAGGCGAGUGGAAUUCCUGGUGUAGCGGUGAAAUGCGCAGAUAUCAGGAGGAACACCGGUGGCGAAGGCGGUGGUCUGGGCCGGAACUGACGCUGAGGAGCGAAAGCGUGGGGAGCGAACAGG
rnacentral:rRNA from 1 species